GAAACGAUAGCCAAGCGGUAAGGCGCUCGACUUAAACUCGAUAUACGGUGGUUCGAAUCCACCUCGUUUUU
rnacentral:tRNA from 1 species